UUGUCACCCCCAGGGGCUGGCUAUGUUUGACUGAAGCCACGCCCCUUCUCAACUUCCACCUCGAGGAGGUCCCCAAAGCCAACCCAAUGACCAGACAAACACGAGAACAGGGAGACUGCAGCCACGGGCAGGCAGGGACAAGGGCAACGGGGGUGCAGACCACCGUAAGCCGGGGGGAGGGGAAACGUCAGGCUCCGGCCUGGUCCCUGCUAUCUGUGGCGCCCUCCUCCUUCCUUCCUGGAGGCAGAGUACAAACAGUGUGACUGGUGGCCGCUGAGACACAAAAGCACUGUUAACUUGGAUUUGGGGUAUUUCUCACCGGCUCUGCUGUUUACAGCUCUCUUGGUAGGUAUCACUUUCCACAGUCUGUUCUCCUAAUGUUCACUCUCGUUCUCCUUUUUCUCCACAGGUGGCCGCUGGGACACAAAAGCACUGUUAACUUGGACUUCGAACACUCCUCGCUGGUUCUGCUGUUUACAGCUCUUGGUAGGUAUAGCUCUCCACAGUCUGUUCUCUUAAUGUUCACUCUCGUUCUCCUUUUGCUCCACAGGUGACUACUGGGACACAAAAGCACUGUUAACUUGAACUUCAAAUACCUCUCACCGGCUCUGCUGUUUACAGCUCUUGGUGACCGCUGGGACACAAAGCACUGUUACUUGGAUUUUUGGAUGCUUCUCACCUGGUCUGCUGUUUACAGCUCUUGGUAGGUAUAGCUUUCCACAGUCUGUCCUCCUAAUGUUCUCUCUCGUUCUCCUUUUGCUCCACAGGUGACCGCUGGGACACAAAGCACUGUUACUUGGAUGUUGGAUGCUUCUCACCUGGUCUGCUGUUUACAGCUCUUGGUAGGUAUAGCUUCCUCCGCAGGUCCAGCAGAGGGGCGAAGAUGGCACACCGCCUCACCGGGUCAAGCGCUGCCCUAUCCUCACUACCCGUAGGGCGAUCGAAUCCUGGACAGGGGCGCCCCUUUGUAGAGACCACGGGGUGGCGGAACUCUUUCGCCUCCGCCUCUGCGACAGGGGCAGACACAGCACACUGCGUAUAGUAGCUGGUAAUUCCUGAGGUCGUUAGCCUCUCCGUCCUCUGCCCAGUGAAAAAUGGAUGAUGCGGGGUUUCGUCUGACAAGACACACAGCAACCCACAGCAAAUACACAGCACCACUUCAACGUGAAAAGUUUACUAAUUGCAAAGACUCACUCACCACACUAUCAGUGUACACAACAAAGGACGCCCUGCGUCCUCCACUUCGUUUGGGCUGAAUGAGGGCGAUGGAAAUACGACCGGAAUGGUAGUUCGUUGCUGUGGUUGUUUGGAUGGACGCUUCUGCAGCUCACCCACCACGCUGUUUCAGGGGUAGGGCCGCCCUCCUUCUCCUGGAGGUAUCCAACGAUUGCACAGGUUAGUUUUUACAAGUCACUCAACACCAGAGUUGAUACUCACAGCGGUUUGCCUUUGUUUACGUUGCAACACAAAGUCGGUUUCCUUCCUGCUUUACUCCUUUAAUUGUGCCACUUAGACCAAUGUUUCUUCUACCCGUAGGAUCUUCCUUUAACUCCAGCGUUUCCACCGCAAACUACAACGAGAGAGAGAGAGAGAGAGAGAAAAUGUAGACAGCCACCAAUGUCUAGCAACGAGCACAGCUCCGUUCCUCAGCACACACCAAACGUGUCCAACUGUGAUCUAACUGUUCUCUAAAUACUCCUCCGUGUACUCCAGUUGUCCAAUCACCCGGCGAUCUCCUUAACUACACACAGCUGUGCUUAAUCGACUGAUUACAGCCCUUCGCGAUGCUGCCGGAUGUCCGGUGUUUCCUUUCUCCGGUCUGGGCGGAAACAUCCGGGCGGAACCAAACUUUCCCAACUUUUGGUUCCGCCCAACAAGAUCGUCACCUU